GCGCCUCGAGCCCCACACGCUCUGGCGGCCGCCGCGCCAGCGUCUGGGAAGGCCAAGCUGACGCACCUGGGGAAGGCGAUCCUGGCAGGCGGCCUGGCGGGCGGCAUUGAGAUCUACAUCACCUUCCCCACCCAGUACGUGAAGACGCAGUGGCAGCUGGACUAGCCCUCGAACCCGCCGCGGUACCAGAGCAUCGGGGAGUGGGUGUGGCAGACAGUCCGCAGCCAUGGCGUUCUGGGCCUGUACCGCAGUCUCAGCUCCCUGCUCUACGGCUCCAUCCCCAAAGCGGCCGCCAGCUUCGGAAUGUUCUAGUUCCUCGGCAACCACCUGCGGGAUUCCCAGGGACGGCUGGACAGCACGCGCGGGCUGCUGUGCUGCCUGGGCGCUGGAGUGGCUGAGGCCGUGGUGAUCGUGUGCCCCAUGGAGACCAUCAAGGUGAGGUUCAUCCACGACCAGACCUCCCCAAACCCCAAGUACCGAGGAUUCUUCUACGGGUUAGGAAGAUUGUGCGGGAACAAGGGCUGAAGGGGAUGUAUCAGAGCCUCACGGCCACCGUACUGAAACAGGGCUGGAACCAGGCCAUCCGCUUCUUCGUCAUGACAUUCCCUGCACAACUGGUACCGAGGAGACAACCCCAACAAGCCCAUGAACCCGCUGAUCACUGGGGGCUUCGGAGCCAUCGUGUGCACAGCCAGCGUCUUUGGAAACACUCCUCUGGACGUGAUUAAGACCCGCAGGUAGGGCCUGGAGGCGCACAAAUACCGGAACUUGAUGGACUGUGGCUGGCAGAUCCUGAGGAAGGAGGAGCUCAAGGCAUUCUACAAGGGCAUUGUCCCGCGCUGGGCCAGGUCAACCUGGAUGUGGCCAUAGUGUUUAUCAUCUAUGAUGAGGUGGUGAAGCUGCUCAACAAAGUGGAAGACGGGCUAA
rnacentral:lncRNA from 1 species